UCACUGAAAUAUUAGUUUACUCACAAUCCGUUAGUAAUUUAUGGACUUCUAACCUUUGAAGUAAUCAGGAAGCGACUUAUUACUUACUUUACUUUCCCAGCUAGCCGGGAAAGUACUUUCCCGGCUAGCAUCUGUCACUUUUCUACCUGCAAAUGUCAAUGUCAUUUUUGAUUA
rnacentral:lncRNA from 1 species